rnacentral:rRNA from 1 species
UGCAUAUCAAAAAAGCGGAGGAAAAGAAAAUAACUAUGAUGCUCUCAGUAACGGCGAGUGAAGCGAGCAAAGCUCAAGCGUAAAAUCGAUCUGUCGUCGGAUAGUAUCGAAUUGUCGAGUGUCAACGUGAUGUCAGCAUAACCAAAUGCAGUAAGUUUUUUGAAACAAAACAUGAUACAGGGUGAGAAUCCCGUAUGUCUGCUGUUUGAUUGUUAUGUGUACGACUCAUGUUUAUCGAGUCGAGUUGUUUGGGAUUGCAGCUCUAAUUCGGUGGUAAGUUUCAUCGAAAGCUAAAUAUAGGCGAGAGACCGAUAGCGAACAAGUACCGUGAGGGAAAGAUGAAAAGAACUUUGAAAAGAGAGUGAAAAAGUACUUGAAAGGGUAUAGAGGGAAGCGAGCCACACUAGUCGAAAAGGAAGAAAUUCUUAUCUAUAUUUUAUUUUCAUGUUGUUUAUUUUUUAAAUAUUCAAUAUUUUAUUUUAAUUUAUCAUAAGUUCAUUUUUUCUUUGAGGUCAGCUUGCUUUAUUUGAAUUCAUAAACAUAAAUAAAAAGGUAAAAUAAAUUUUCGAAUUUAUUUGUUAUAGUUUAUUUUAUUGUCAAGAAUGUCAAAUGAAGGAGGCGUUGUAAGAUGAGCCAUUUUGGCAUUUUAUUUUUAUAAAAUAUCAUUCUUUAUCUGA